GCAAAGCUAAGUUUAAACUGCGGACUGAGUUGCCAUACGUCAAGGCUCCAAUUUGGACCUCUUGGGGAGCACUAAUACUGAUAGCAGUGCUUCUACUUAAGUCAGAGAUGGCAGCCGAAUAUUACAAUCAACUUGCAAAGCAGAAUACUUGAAAAGUUUCCUGGUUGUCAAGAUAACGAAUGCAAGAUCAGGGAAAUGAUGACAGACCAAUGUAGCAGCUAUUUUUGAAAAACUGCCCACUUAUCACAACGAUCACCUUGAUUCUGAGAAAAGCAAUUGAAACAUUUCCGUCUUAAAUUUACAGCAACCAUGUCCUGCAAUGAAGGACCAAGAAGAUAUGAUUUCUGCAGUAUGGAGCAAAUGCUAGAAGAAAAGAGAAAUUUUGGGGAGAAAGUUUCACAAGACAUGCUUUUCUAGACACAUUUAGAACAUCUCCAUCUUUUGAGAUUGCAUUUAUAACAGCAACAAGUUCAGGGUAAUUAUUGUGCACCUCGAGAGCAGGCUAAGUGCUGAUUAACACCGACAACUUAAGGAUCGCUAGAUGAUAAAGCAGACCCAUUUGUGUGUUAACGCUCUUCACUGCAAAGGCAUGUAAUAAAGUGAUCAUCAUCUAUCUUUUGGUGGUGAGGAAGGGCCAUUGGUUGGACAGUCACAUAUAGCAACGGCAGAAAUCAUUUGCUUACAAUUGCUUUGGCAAGAUUAUCAUGAUAAACUUUAUCAUUUGGCAAUCUGUGCUCUGGAGAUUUCUUUCUUUUCUAAAGAGAUCAAUCGUUGCCUUUUAUUUAUUUGGAUUGCUGAAACACUUCGAGCUAUUCUUUCUCGCUAUAACGUCACUUGGUUGAUCUCGAUCUCCAUGAACGCCCUUAACACCAGCGGAUAUAAUCGCAGCAGCAUCAACAUCGUCUUUAUUAUCAUCACAUUUGUUAGAUGUCAAAGACCUGCUAAUGCUAUGUUUAUCACAUGGGGCCACGGCCUUAAAUCAGUGGUCAUCGUAAGAAGCAUCGGAUUUGAGGUUUUGCCGACAAGGUUGGAUCAUUCCAGAAAUAGACUUUCAAGCUCACGCCCAAACUAGAAUCACGUAAUCUAGACUCGGACUCGGAACAAGAAUGAUCUGGAUCGUAUCCGACCCGUUUUCAGCAGUCCGGCAAUAGGCAGACUUCUUUCUGACGGUUCCAAUAUCCGAAGUCCCAGACCCAGACGGGCACAUAGUCUGGUCUACGCGCGUCGGCAGCGUUUCUCCGUUCUCCGUUCUUGUUGCCCUCCUUCGCGCUCUUGUUUGGGUAGUUUUUGCCGCCAUGGCUGCCGCCGCCGCCGCCGCUGCUGCUGGUGGAUCAGUGGUGCCGCGGAAUAGAGGAGCCCAGAGGGGGUUGGAUGAUGAAGCCCUGGUGUUCGAGACGAGCCCAGGAGUGGAGGCCAUAUCGAGCUUCGACCAGAUGGGCAUCCGGGACGACCUUCUCCGCGGCAUCUACGCCUACGGCUUUGAGAAGCCGUCUGCCAUCCAGCAGAGAUCCGUCCUUCCUAUCAUCAGCGGACGGGACGUCAUCGCCCAGGCACAGUCCGGCACCGGGAAGACCUCCAUGAUAGCCCUCGCAGUCUGUCAGAUGGUGGACACCACCACCCGGGAGGUUCAGGCUUUAAUUUUGUCACCUACACGAGAACUUGCUUCUCAGACAGAGAAAGUGAUCCUAGCUAUUGGGGAUUACAUCAACGUGCAAGCACAUGCUUGCGUUGGCGGCAAGAGCCUUGGUGAAGAUAUCAGAAAGCUAGAAUAUGGAGUUCAUAUUGUAUCUGGUACGCCAGGUAGAGUUUGCGAUAUGAUCAAGAGAAGAACAUUACGCACCAGGGCUAUCAAAUUGUUGAUCCUUGACGAGUCUGAUGAGAUGUUAAGCCGAGGGUUCAAAGAUCAGAUAUAUGAUGUUUAUAGAUAUCUCCCGCCAGAGCUCCAGGUUGUCUUAAUCUCUGCAACAAUGCCAAAUGAAAUUCUGGAGAUAACUAGCAAAUUCAUGACUGAUCCGGUUAGGAUACUUGUAAAGCGUGAUGAAUUGACACUGGAGGGCAUUAAACAGUUCUUUGUUGCUGUUGAACGUGAAGAGUGGAAGUUUGAUACCCUUUGUGAUCUUUACGACACACUGACGAUUACUCAAGCUGUUAUAUUCUGCAACACAAAGAGAAAGGUGGACUGGUUGACAGAAAAGAUGCGCAGCAACAACUUCACAGUUUCUUCAAUGCAUGGCGACAUGCCUCAAAAGGAGCGAGAUGCAAUAAUGUCAGAGUUCAGAUCAGGAACAACACGUGUAUUGAUCACAACAGAUGUAUGGGCUCGUGGGCUUGAUGUUCAGCAGGUUUCUCUCGUAAUUAAUUAUGACCUGCCUAAUAAUCGAGAACUCUACAUUCAUCGUAUUGGUCGGUCUGGUCGUUUUGGGCGAAAGGGUGUGGCUAUAAACUUUGUCCGCAGUGAUGACAUCAGGAUCUUGAGAGACAUAGAGCAGUAUUACAGUACACAAAUAGAUGAAAUGCCUAUGAACGUUGCUGACUUGAUAUGAAACUUGGUUGUGGAUUAUCGAAGAAGGGGAUUCAGAAGAAAAGCUUAUAGAAAAUGCUUCAAUAUGACGUGGCUAUAAAGUGUGGAAGUUUGGAUUGUUAGACAAGAAUUUGGGCAAUGGAUUCUGCAUUUGUUUAUUAAGACCAUCUUUGGUUUGACAGGUUGCUCAAAUUAAAUGAUGAAGAAUUGUGCUGGAUUUGCCAUCUUGAGAAUCGAGACUGCUUUGCAUUUCUCGGUGCUAAGAGAAAAUUGGUUGCCUGAGUCUUAUCUGUCGUUUUCUGCAAGCAAGAUUUUCUGUGCCUUAUGAAGUUGAUUAAAGUCAGACAAGAUGCGGAGAUCUUCAGGUUGCUAAUGGUCUGUCAAGUAUGAGUGCAUUGUGUGGAUGUACGUGUACUUCUCUAUAGGCUUUGGUUAUUCAUAUGGAUGCUGAUUGGAUUUGGAGCUUGAUGCAAGUUUAUCAAGUGGGCCUUUAGCUUAUUCUGAGCCAAGGCCGUUUCUUGGGCAAUGCAAGUGGAUCAUCACGUGUUUGGGAGCCUACUGAUGAAGGAGUAGGCGAGGAUGAGCAAGAACUUUUCAAGGAUCAAGCAAAAUAUGUUCUACCCUCUGUUUUUCUGCUGCCAUGUGGCAGGGUAGUCAGAUGGCUGUCUUUUCUUCCUUCUUGCUUUCCUAUUUGAGCAAGCACUAUGCUGUAGACUUGUAGCUCUUUUCUGAUGGAUACCUGAUCUGCACAUGUAGUUAUUUUAGGAGUGUGUGAACUCUAGACUCUUAAUCCAUCUUUUGUACCCAACUCGUUUGAUGACUACUUAUCAGUUAACCCCAUGAUUUUCAUAGACAAGAAGUCAUGAAAUGAAAAAGGAAAAAGAAAAUAAACUUUUCUCCUGCUUUUUGUUGUAUCACCAGAAGUCUAGCGCGUUCUUGUAGGUUAAUUUCUUUCCAGUUACUAACGAUUCAAACAUCAAGUCCUUCUAGAUUCAUUUUUCAACCCGAAAAGACAAAAGUACCUCUUGGGCACUGGUCGCCUUUCCAUGUUUGCUUUCUAGCUAGAAACUGCAUCCAGAAAUUUUAACUGAUUGCGCUUUAAAUGCUGUGACGCAGAAGAUAUAUCCACUCAUAUUAGCUUCGUGGCAAAGAAAAAAAAAAAGAAAA